rnacentral:rRNA from 1 species
UAAAUAAAAUAUUUAUAUUAAAUUUAUAUAAAAUAAAAUAUAAUAAAUUAAGUAUAUUAAUAGAAAAAUAUUAAUUUUAUAAGUAAAUUUUUAAUUGUACCUUUUGUAUUAUGGAUUAACAAGUAAAUAAGUUAAAAUAUAUCAUACCCGAAUUUAAAAUGAUAUGUAUUAUAAUUGUUAAGAACUUUAUAAAUUAUUGUUUAAUAAAUAUUUAAAAAUUAUAAUACAGAGGCUACAUACCAAACGCAUUUUAAAAUAACUGGUUUUAUUAAAAAUCUACAAAGUAGAAAAACUUAUAAAGUUUUUGAUUUAAUGAAUAUAAAUUCAUUAAAUUUAUACUAAUUAAAAUUAAAUAUGUAUAAUAAAACUGUAAGCUUUAAAAUAGCUAAUAAUUAAUACUUUAUAGUUAAUAAUUUCAUUAAAUUAUAUAAUAUAAUUGUAAAAUAUUUAUAAUAAAAUUUUAUAAAACUUAUAAUAGAAAUUAUACUGUUAGUAUUAGUACUUAAUAAAAUUUAUUAAAGGAAUUCGGCAAAAUUUAUUUCCGACUGUUUUCAAAAACAUUUCUUUUAGAAAAUAUUAAAAGUAGGCCCUGCCCAAUGAUGAAUUUAAUGGCCGCGGUAUUCUAACCGUGCAAAGGUAGCAAAAUAAUUUGCUUAUUAAUUGUAAGCUAGAAUGAAUGGGUUAACGAGAAAUAUACUGUCUCUAAUAUUUUUAUGAAAAUUAUCUUUUAAGUGAAGAGACUUAAAUAAUAAUAAAAGACAAGAAGACCCCAUAGAGUUUUACUAUAUAAAUAAAUAAUUUAUUUUAAAGUUUGGUUGGGGUGACCCGAGGAAUAAUAAACACCUCAAUUAUAUAAAAAUAUAUUAAUUAAAUAAAGACCCUUUUUAUAGAUCAAUAAUAAAAAUUACCUUGGGGGUAACAGACUUAUAACUUUAUAGAGUUCUUAUCAAUAAUGUUGUUUGGCACCUCGAUGUUGGCUUAGGGUAUCUUAUUAUAACGCAGUAGUUAAUAAAGUAGGUUUGUUCAACCUUUAAAACCCUACAUGAGCUGAGUUCAGACCGGCGUGAGCCAGGUUAGUUUCUAUCUUUAAUAAAAUAUUUUUAGUACGAAAGGACCAAAAUAUAUCUAUUAUAGAUAAUUUAAUACUAAAUUAAU